GGCUGAAUUAAAGGAUUUUCUGCAUUGAUCAAUGUGCUGUAUCCUGUGCUGUCCAAUUCACAAUCUGAUUCAAGCAUUUGGAUAUUUGUUAAGACCUACAGCCCAAAUAAGUCAGUGAAUUAAAACUUUGGGAAGAUUCACUCCGGAUGAAAUCAUUAAGGAUGGGGAAUUGAAAUGUUCCAUAAGUGAUCUCCUCAUCUCUGAUAUUACCUGGGAACAAAAGGAACUGCAGCUACAUGAGGAGGGACUGCAGGUACCCCUCGAAUGGAGUGAAAUGUGCCACUGUCAGGUUGAAACAAUUCAUUGUUGACCAGCAGAAAUACAGAAAUGGAUAUUUCAU